rnacentral:misc_RNA from 1 species
UUUCCGUUGGUGAACCAGCGGAAGGAUCAUUACAGAGAUCGUGCCCUUCGGGGUAGACCUCCCACCCUGUGUUAUUUACGUAUGUUGCUUUGGCGGGCCGCGUCCGGGCUCUCGGCUUCGGCCGCGGUGGGCCCGCCAGAGAACCUACAACCCUGUGUUUAGUGUCGUCUGAGUAUUAUCAAAUAAGUUAAAACUUUCAACAACGGAUCUCUUGGUUCUG